AUGCCCAAGAGUAAGGUCAACUCCACCGAGGGGGCAGUGAAGGAGGAGUCCAAGAGGAGAUUCACAAGGCUGUCAGCUAAACCUGCUCCUUGCAAAAGUGGAAGCGAAGCCAAAAAAGGCAGCGGGAAAGGAUAAAUCUUCAGACAAAAAGUGCAAGCAAAAGGGAAAAGGGGAGCAAAGGGAAAGCAGGCUAAAGUGGCUAACCAAAAAACUAAAGAGUUACCUCCAGAAAACGGAGAAACUGAAACUGAGGAGAAUUCAGCCUCUGAUGAAGCAGGAAAGAAAGAAGCCAAGUCUGAAUAAUAUCAUAUCCCAUGUCUUAUCAGUAGUCCCUAUCUCCCUUCUUGUAUAAUCCAGAGGAAUAUUUUUAUCAACUAUUUUGUAAAUGCAAGUUUUUUAAUAGCUCUAGAAACAUUUUUAGGAAGGUGAGAAUCCCACCUCAUCCCAUUUUUUAAGUGUAAAUGCUUUUUUUCAGAGGUGAAAUCAUUAGCUGGUUGUUUAUUUUUUGGUACAACCAGAAAAUAGUGUGGGAUAUUGAAUUAUGGGAGGCUUUGACUGUCUUGGGUAUCAGCUUAACAUUCCAUAGAUGGGGAUGGAGGGUUAGUUUUUAUAUCCUAUAAUGCAAAGUAUACUAAGUGGCAAUGUGGAAUCAUAGUCCUGCAUUUAAUGUCUUGAACACUUAAAAUCACUUCUAUUCCCAUGUUGAUUUUUAGUAUAAUUGUUCCCUAAAGA